rnacentral:rRNA from 1 species
AGCAGUCGCCGCGGUAAUACGAAGGGUGCAAGCGUUAAUCGGAAUUACUGGGCGUAAAGCGUGCGUAGGCGGUGAGUUAAGUCUGCUGUGAAAUCCCCGGGCUCAACCUGGGAAUGGCAGUGGAUACUGGCUCGCUAGAGUGUGUCAGAGGAUGGUGGAAUUCCCGGUGUAGCAGUGAAAUGCGUAGAGAUCGGAAGGAACAUCUGUGGCGAAGGCGACUAUCUGGGCCAACACUGACACUGAGGCACGAAAGCGUGGGGAGCAAACAGGAUUAGAUACCCGAGUAGUCCCUGUCUCUUAUAC